UAGGGAAUCUUCCACAAUGGACGCAAGUCUGAUGGAGCAACGCCGCGUGAGUGAAGAAGGUUUUCUGAUCGUAAAGCUCUGUUGUUGGUGAAGAAGGAUAGAGGCAGUAACUGGUCUUUAUUUUACGGUAAUCAACCAGAAAGUCACGGCUAACUACGUGCCAGCAGCCGCUGUAAUACGUAGGUGGCAAGCGUUGUCCGUAUUUAUUUGGCGUAAAGCGAGCGCAGGCGGAAUGAUAAGUCUGAUGUGAAAGCCCAGGGCUAAACCGUGGGACUGCAUCGGAAACUGUCAUUCUUGAGUGCAGAAGAGGAGAGUGGAAUUCCAGGUGUAGCGGUGGAAUGCGUAGAUAUAUGGAAGAACACCAGUGGCGAAGGCGGCACUCUGGUGUGCAACUGACGCUGAGGCUCGAAAGCAUGGGUAGCGAACAGG
rnacentral:rRNA from 1 species